UGAGGAAUAUUGGUCAAUGGACGAGAGUCUGAACCAGCCAAGUAGCGUGCAGGAUGACGGCCCUAUGGGUUGUAAACUGCUUUUGUUUGGGAAUAAUCGACAUUACGUGUAAUGUUUUGCAUGUACCAUAUGAAUAAGGACCGGCUAAUUCCGUGCCAGCAGCCGCGGUAAUACGGAAGGUUCGGGCGUUAUCCGGAUUUAUUGGGUUUAAAGGGAGCGUAGGCCGUUUGGUAAGCGUGUUGUGAAAUGUAGGAGCUCAACUUCUAGAUUGCAGCGCGAACUGUCAGACUUGAGUGCGCACAACGUAGGCGGAAUUCAUGGUGUAGCGGUGAAAUGCUUAGAUAUCAUGAAGAACUCCGAUUGCGAAGGCAGCUUACGGGAGCGCAACUGACGCUGAAGCUCGAAGGUGAGGGUAUCGAACAGG
rnacentral:rRNA from 1 species